UACGUAGGGUGCAAGCGUUGUCCGGAAUUAUUGGGCGUAAAGAGCUCGUAGGCGGUCUGUCGCGUCGGAUGUGAAAAUCCAGGGCUCAACCCUGGACCUGCAUUCGAUACGGGCAGACUAGAGUUCGGCAGGGGAGACUGGAAUUCCUGGUGUAGCAGUGAAAUGCGUAGAUAUCAGGAGGAACACCGAUGGCGAAGGCAGGUCUCUGGGCUGACACUGACGCUCAUGCACGAAAGCGUGGGGAGCAAACAGG
rnacentral:rRNA from 1 species